AGGACGAACGCUGGCGGCGUGCUUAACACAUGCAAGUCGAGCGGAAAGGCCCUUCGGGGUACUCGAGCGGCGAACGGGUGAGUAACACGUGAGCAACCUGCCCUUAGCUUCGGGAUAGCUCCGGGAAACCGGAAUUAAUACCGAAUAUGACUUUGGCUGACAUCAGCAGAAGUGGAAAGUUUUUCGGCUAGGGAUGGACUCGCGGCCUAUCAGCUAGUUGGUGUAGGUAACGGCCCACCAAGGCGACGACGGGUA
rnacentral:rRNA from 1 species